rnacentral:rRNA from 1 species
GAGGAAAGCUGGCGGCGUGCUUAACACAUGCAAGUCGAACGGAAAGGCCUCUUUCGGGGGGUACUCGAGUGGCGAACGGGUGAGUAACACGUGAGUAACCUGCCCUUGACUUUGGGAUGACUUAAGGCAACUGGGGCUAAUACCGGAUAGGAGCUCCUGCUGCCUGGUGGGGGUUGGAAAGUUUCGGCGGUUGGGGAUGGACUCGCGGCUUAUCAGCUUGUUGGUGGGGUAGUGGCUUACCAAGGCUUUGACGGGUAGCCGGCCAGAGAGGGUGACCGGCCACAUUGGGACUGAGAGACGGCCCAGACUCCUACGGGAGGCAGCAGUGGGGAAUAUUGCACAAUGGGUGGAAGCCGGAUGCAGCAACGCCGUGUGCGGGAUGACGGCCUUCGGGUUGUAAACCGCUUUCGCUCAUGACGAAGCUUUGUGUGACGGUAGUGAAUAAAGAAGCACCGGCUAACUACGUG